rnacentral:rRNA from 1 species
CCUACGGGUGGCAGCAGUGAGGAAUAUUGGUCAAUGGGCGAGAGCCUGAACCAGCCAAGUCGCGUGAGGGAGUACUGCCCUAUGGGUUGUAAACCUCUUUUGUCGGGGAGCAAAAGCCGGACGUGUCCGGCUGUGAGAGUACCCGAAGAAAAAGCAUCGUCUAACUCCGUGCCAGCAGCCGCGGUAAUACGGAGGAUGCGAGCGUUAUCCGGAUUUAUUGGGUUUAAAGGGUGCGCAGGCGGAUUUUUAAGUCAGCGGUAAAAUCGUGGGGCUCAACCCAAUCCAGCCGUUGAAACUGGGGAUCUAGAGUGUGCGAGAGGUAUGCGGAAUGCGUGGUGUAGCGGUGAAAUGCAUAGAUAUCACGCAGAACCCCGAUUGCGAAGGCAGCAUACCGGUGCACAACUGACGCUCAGGCACGAAAGCGUGGGUAUCGAACAGGAUUAGAUACCCGAGUAGUC